rnacentral:rRNA from 1 species
GACGGAGGGUGCUGGCGUUGUUCGGAAUCACUGGGCGUAAAGGGCGCGUAGGCGGCCUUGCAAGUCGGUUGGUGAAAGCCCGGGGCUCAACCCCGGAGGUGCGGCCGAGACUGCAGGGCUGGAGGCCGGAAGAGGAGGGUGGAAUACCCAGUGUAGAGGUGAAAUUCGUAGAUAUUGGGUGGAACACCGGUGGCGAAAGCGGCUCUCUGGUCCGGACCUGACGCUGAGGCGCGAAAGCGUGGGGAGCAAACAGG